UGAACCCGGUGAUGCAGAUAAGAAGGCUAAUGAGUACCGGCUUAGACCAGUGAUUCGCAGCCACCAGCGCACGCCGUCCGGAUCGCGCGAUUUCAAGGAAGCAACUAAACGCGAUGCGCUUGCAAGGCUUGAGGUGGAGCUCGAGCGGCUGCUCGCAACAGUGCCAGAAGCCAGGCGGGGUGCCGUCGAAAAGGAGUACAGGGGUUUCAAACAGCUGUUCUCGCGGUU